rnacentral:rRNA from 1 species
GAUGAACGCUGGCGGCGUGCCUAAUACAUGCAAGUCGAGCGAACAGACGAGGAGCUUGCUCCUUUGACGUUAGCGGCGGACGGGUGAGUAACACGUGGGUAACCUACCUAUAAGACUGGGAUAACUUCGGGAAACCGGAGCUAAUACCGGAUAAUAUUUCGAACCGCAUGGUUCGAUAGUGAAAGAUGGCUUUGCUAUCACUUAUAGAUGGACCUGCGCCGUAUUAGCUAGUUGGUAAGGUAACGGCUUACCAAGGCAACGAUACGUAGCCGACCUGAGAGGGUGAUCGGCCACACUGGAACUGAGACACGGUCCAGACUCCUACGGGAGGCAGCAGUAGGGAAUCUUCCGCAAUGGGCGAAAGCCUGACGGAGCAACGCCGCGUGAGUGAUGAAGGUCUUCGGAUCGUAAAACUCUGUUAUUAGGGAAGAACAAACGUGUAAGUAACUGUGCACGUCUUGACGGUACCUAAUCAGAAAGUCACGGCUAACUACGUG